rnacentral:tRNA from 1 species
AAAUAAGAAGCAAAUUUUGCAUUUAAUUUCGACUUAAAAGAAUGAGUAUAUAAUAUAUCUCCUUAUUUA